UAUGAGAGGGUGAUAGAGAAUCCGUCUAUGGACAUUCCCUCUGACACCACCAUCUGGCUCGGACAGAGGAACCAGGCCCAUGGAUACUUCAAGGGUAUAAUGCAGGAUGUUCAGCUCGUCGUCAUGCCUCAAGGCUACAUCUCCCAGUGUCCAGACCUCAACCGCACUUGCCCCACCUGCAAUGACUUCCAUGGGCUGGUGCAGAAGAUCAUGGAGCUGCAGGAUGUCUUAGCCAAGACC